AGGAGAAUCACCUUCUUGACAGCGAAGGAGACCUGUGCCUGACAAUGGAAACAAUUGUAGCAUUAGCAGUGUUGCUGGGAACGUUAUCGUAUGGUCGCUGUGUUGAACUCACUCAGCCAGGCUCUAUGGUAGUAAAACCAGGAGAGACUUUAUCUGUUUCCUGUAAAGUGUCAUAUUCACUGAGCAGCUAUAGUACGAACUGGAUCCGACAGCCUGCAGGGAAAGCUCUGGAGUGGAUUGGAUAUAUAGCGUCGGGUGGCGGCACUGGUUAUAAAGAUUCACUAAAGAGCAAGUUCACCAUCACCAGAGACACCUCCAGCAGCACAGUGACUUUGCAGGGGAGCAGCCUGCAGACUGGAGACACAGCUGUGUAUUACUGUGCCCGAUACACACAGUGCAGCAAAGCCACAGCAGACCUGUACAAAAACCCACCCUGA